UGAGUUUGAUUCCCCCUGGCUCAGAGUGAACGCUGGCGGUAGGCCUAACACAUGCAAGUCGAACGGCAGCACAGUAAGAGCUUGCUCUUAUGGGUGGCGAGUGGCGGACGGGUGAGGAAUACAUCGGAAUCUACCUUUUCGUGGGGGAUAACGUAGGGAAACUUACGCUAAUACCGCAUACGACCUUCGGGUGAAAGCAGGGGACCUUCGGGCCUUGCGCGGAUAGAUGAGCCGAUGUCGGAUUAGCUAGUUGGCGGGGUAAAGGCCCACCAAGGCGACGAUCCGUAGCUGGUCUGAGAGGAUGAUCAGCCACACUGGAACUGAGACACGGUCCAGACUCCUACGGGAGGCAGCAGUGGGGAAUAUUGGACAAUGGGCGCAAGCCUGAUCCAGCCAUACCGCGUGGGUGAAGAAGGCCUUCGGGUUGUAAAGCCCUUUUGUUGGGAAAGAAAAGCAGUCGGCUAAUACCCGGUUGUU
rnacentral:rRNA from 1 species